AUGAAGCAUAUUGCAAUUACAUUAAUCGCAUUUUCCGUGUUGUUUCGUUAUUCAAUUCUAUGUUUUCUACCUUCCAUUUUCUCAUCAUCCAUAAUUAAGUCAAAAGUCUAACACCACUGUCAACUGCUCCCUCCCUCAAUCAUCAAUCUUCACUUAGAGAGAGAGAGAGUGUACUGCUCCAAAAAAUCUCCACAAAUGGGUAUCCAAAUCAGCAUCAACCGCAGCCGCAGCAGCUCCCUCCGCCCGCCGCCGCCUCGAACCAUCUCAGACCCCACCCCGAAUGCCUCCACCUCCUCUGCAGACCCCGACCUCACCUCCUACGAAGCCGCCUGCCUCUCCGAUCCACAACUCCGGAGCUUCGACUCCUCCGUCCAGCUCCGCACUACCCGCGCAAUCAACUCCAUCGCCCUCUCCCUCGAUUCCCGCGCCCUCUCCCUCGAUUCCCUCAGCCAGGUCACCGAAUGCCUCCUCGAGACCAACCAGGAAGUCGUCAAAAUCAUCCUCCACAACAAGCGCGACGUCUGGAACAAUCCCGAACUCUCCGAUCUCGUCAACGAUUACUUCGAAAACAGCCUCCUAACCCUAGAUUUCUGCACCGCACUCGACGCCUGCCUCAAGCGCGCCGGCCAUAUCGAGUCGAUCGUCAAUGUAGCCCUAAGGAAGUUCCAGGAGGAGCACUACGCCGCCGCCGACGAGAGGAAUUACGCCAGAACUCUCGAGGAAUUGAGCAAUUUCAGAGCGGCGGGCGAUCCAUUCACGGAGGAAUUUUUUAGGGCUUUCAAUUCCAUCCACUCGCGGCAGUCUCAGAUGCUCGAGAGAUUGCACGCCAAGAAGCGGAAGCUCGAUCGUAAGCUGAAGCGGCUCAAGGCGUGGAGACGAGUCUCCAACGUGAUAUUCGUAGCAGCUUUUGCCUCUGUGCUGAUAUGCUCUGUGGUUGCCGCCGCCGUGUCUGCUCCGCCGGUGGUGACUGCUUUGGCGGCUGCGGCGGCCGUGCCCCUGGGGUCAAUGGGGAAAUGGCUGAACUCACUGUGGAAGAACUACGAGAGGGAUUUGAGGGGACAGACAGAGAUACUCACCUCAAUGCAGAUAGGGAGCUACAUAGCGCUGAAUGAUUUGGAUAGCAUAAAGAGGCUGGUGGAGAAGUUUCACAUAGUGAUCGAGUCGUUGCUGGCGAAUGCUGAGUUUGCGAUGAGAGGGGACGAGGCUGUGGUGGUGGCGGUGGAUGAGAUCAGGCAGGAGGUGGAUAGCUUCAUCAAGACUAUACAGGAGCUCCGAGACAGAGCCAACAAGUGCACGCAGGAGACAAGGAUGGCGAGGACUUUGAUACUGCGGAAGAUCAUGAAUCAUCCCUCGGGCUCCAAUCAAGAUAUUGUGAUCUCUAGGGCUUUUACCUCACAGGAACAUAUCCAGCAGAGAAAACAUGUAAAAUAUUCCAGUCCAAAAUAUAAAAAAUCUCCUACCUCUAAAUCAUCAAUCAAGAAGCAUGAUGUGGAGACAGAAACUUAUGCAAGGCAAAGAAUCACCAAAAUCUACAACAUUUUGAAGUACUCAACCUGGGAUUCUGCUAAAGAACAGCUGGAAAACCUCUCUGUGAAAUGGGAUUCCUACACUGUCAACCAAGUCCUCAAGACUCACCCUCCAAUGGAAAAAGCUUGGCUCUUUUUCAACUGGGCUGCCAGCAGGAAAAGUUUCAGGCACGAUCAUUAUACCUACACUACUAUGAUUGAUAUUUUUGGGGAGGCGAGGCGGAUUUCUCCGAUGAUGUAUGUUUUCAAUCAAAUGAAGGAGAAAGGGAUCAAGAUUGAUGUUGUUACGUACACUUCGCUGAUGCAUUGGAUAUCGAAUGAUGGGGAUGUUGAUGGAGCGAUUGAUUUGUGGAGGGAGAUGAGGGUGAAGGGUUGCCGACCGACUGUUGUUUCGUACACUGCGUACAUGAAGAUUUUGUUGGAUAGUAAAAGAGUGGAUGUAGCUGCUGGUGUCUACAAAGAGAUGCUGGAGUCUGGCCUGUCGCCAAAUUGCCACACGCACACGGUUCUUAUGGAGUAUCUUGCAUCUUCUGGUAAGUUUUCUGAAGCCAUUGAGAUAUUUUACAAAAUGCAAGAUGCCGGUGUGCUACCUGAUAAAGCUACAUGCAAUAUUUUAAUUGAAAUCUGUUGUAACACUGGGGAAAUAUGGGCAAUGGUGAAAAUUCUUGAAUUCAUGAAGGAAAAUUUCUUAGUCCUCCGAAAUCCUGUUUAUCAAAAAGCACUAAAAACUUUUAAAUUUGCUGGGGAGAGCGACACACUUCUGAGGCAAGUCAAUCGGCACUUCUCUGCAGAGUACUCUGAUGAAGAUGAUAUAGUGUUGCACAGUAGUGAAAUUGGUAUGGAGGAUGGCCUUGCAUUGAACUUCAUGAAUAAGAAGAAUCUUGUUGCUAUUGACUCCUUGCUUACUGACAUGGCGGAUCAGGGUGUUCAGUUAGACUCUAAGGUGGUCUCAGAUAUUAUUGAGGUAAACAUUGCUCGUCAAAGACAAGAUGGAGCUUUAUUGGCAUAUGAUUAUAGUGUGAAAUGGGGCAUAAAUAUUGAAAGAAGUGCCUAUCUUGCUUUAAUAGGCUUCUCAAUUAGAGCAAAUUCAUUCAACAAAGUGUUGGAGAUUGUUGAGAAAAUGGUAAAGCAAGGUCUUUCUCUUGGCACACAGCUGAAUUCUCUUUUGAUAUAUCGUCUUGGCUGUGGAAGAGAAGUUGCUUCUGCUGAGAAAGUGUUUGAUUUGUUGCCAGACAAAGAGAAGAGUAGUGCUGAAUAUACAGCUUUGAUUAGUGCUUACUUCUCUUGUGGGAAUGCUAGCAAGGGACUCGAAACAUUCAACAUUAUGCAAAGCAAGUGUGGAAAAGUUGCCUUGGGAACUUAUUGUGUCGUGGUAGCGGGUCUUGAAAAAUGUGGUAAGGCUCGUGAGCUAGAGCACUACAGGAAAGAAAAGAAGAGUCUGGAAGUGGAAAGGUGCUCGACAAAUAUUUCAGUGGAGGAAACCAUAUGUAAUCUUUUAUUUGCUGGGGAUUUUAUUGCUCGUCGUGCUCGAUAAGAUAUACCUCCUGUAGACAUAGUUUAUAACCUGGGAUUUGGUGUGCUGCAAUUGAUUAAUCUACUGAUGCCAAGAUUCAAAAAACAAUCCGCUUGUUGGCAACACCUUUAGUCUACAGACAGUCCCAGGAGGAACUUUUUGUAAGGUUCCUUGCUUAAAAUACUUAUUCUCGUACCAUUGGUAUGGACGGACACAUUGGUCUACCCUUCGUUACAAGUCUGGAAAGACUAAAGUCAUUGUGGGAAAACAUUCUGUUAUUGGUGCUAGUGACAAAAUCACUGAUUUCCAAAAGAUCAUGUGGUAUCCUGAUGAGCUUAUAUUGCGGGUGGGCUUUACGCUUUCUCAGCCAUACAUAGCAGUUCAUGGGGACUGAUUUGCUGCGAGUUAGAAGUUGAAGCUUGAGUUUUGAGGACCUCUCCCUUUGCAACGACACCGGGGUUUUGUAGGCUGAGGCAUCAGUUCGAAACCUAAUUCGAUCAUCCUUUUGUUGUAGUGGUUGUAAAUCUAUCAAGCAGUGUCAAUGUCAAUGUCAAUAGAUGAGUGUUGAUGCAAAACCCUUAUCAAGAUUUGGUUUGAUUUAUGGUGGAUACUUUUGUACCCUAUGUAUGAUCAAAGGUACAUACUGUAGAAGGAUGUGAAAUGGGUCUUUGAAAAAAAAAAGAAAAGAAAAAAGUAGUAGGAUGUGAAAUGAUAGAAAGAGGGAAUUGAAUUAGGGAAUUAUAUAAUUUUAUUGGACCACAGCUCUUAGAUAACUACUUUGCAUGGUGUUGA